GACAGAGGAUGCAAGCGUUGUCCGGAAUCAUUGGGCGUAAAGGGUCCUGAGGUGGUUUGCUCAGUCCACUGUGAAAGUUCAGGGCUUACCCUUGAAAAUGCGGUGGAAACUAGUAGGCUAGAGUACGGUGGGGGCAGAGGGAAUUCCCGAUGUAGCGGUGAAAUGCAUAGAUAUCGGGAAGAACACCGAUGGCGAAGGCACUCUGCUGGGCCGACACUGACACUGAAAGACGAAAGCCAGGGGAGCGAAUGGG
rnacentral:rRNA from 1 species